rnacentral:rRNA from 1 species
GAUCAAAUUAGAGUGUUCAAAGCAGGCAGAUCCAAUAGUCUGCCACCGAAUACAUUAGCAUGGGAUAAUGGAAUAGGACCCUGUCCUCCUAGGUUCAGUUGGUUUGCCGCGAGGACCAGGGUAAUGACUAAUAGGGAUAGUUGGGGGCAUUAAUACUGAAUUGUCAGAGGUGAAAUUCUUGGAUUUAUGAAAGAUUAACUUCUGCGAAAGCAUCUGCCAAGGAUGGCUUCAUUAAUCAAGAACGAAAGUUAGGGGAUCGAAGACGAUCAGAUACCGUCGUAGUCUUAACCAUAAACGAUGCCGACCAGCGAUUAGGAGACGUUGAAUACAAAACACCACCAUGCGCAUUGCGGUCGUCUAUGGUGUCGCUCACAAGCGGGGCGGCUUAGCUCGCAUGGCACCGGUGAAUCUCCC